rnacentral:rRNA from 1 species
AACAGGAUUAGAUACCCUGGUAGUCCACGCCGUAAACGAUGAAGACUAGCUGUCCGGGCACAUGGUGCCUGGGUGGCGCAGCUAACGCAUUAAGUCUUCCGCCUGGGGAGUACGGCCGCAAGGUUAAAACUCAAAGAAAUUGACGGGGGCCUGCACAGGCGGUGGAGCAUGUGGUUUAAUUCGAAGCAACGCGCAGAACCUUACCAGCGUUUGACAUGGUAGGACGACUGGCAGAGAUGCCUUUCUUCCCUUCGGGGACCUACACACAGGUGCUGCAUGGCUGUCGUCAGCUCGUGUCGUGAGAUGUUGGGUUAAGUCCCGCAACGAGCGCAACCCUCGCCUUUAGUUACCAUCAUUUAGUUGGGGACUCUAAAGGAACCGCCGGUGAUAAGCCGGAGGAAGGUGGGGAUGACGUCAAGUCCUCAUGGCCCUUACGCGCUGGGCUACACACGUGCUACAAUGGCGACUACAGUGGGCUGCGAACUCGCGAGGGUGAGCUAAUCUCCAAAAGUCGUCUCAGUUCGGAUUGUUCUCUGCAACUCGAGAGCAUGAAGGCGGAAUCGCUAGUAAUCGCGGAUCAGCAUGCCGCGGUGAAUACGUUCCCAGGCCUUGUACACACCGCCCGUCACACCAUGGGAGUUGGAUUCACCCGAAGGCGUUGCGCCAACCGCAAGGAGGCAGGCGACCACGGUGGGUUUAGCGACUGGGGUGAAGUCGUAACAAGGUAGCCGUA